rnacentral:rRNA from 1 species
AACGAACGCUGGCGGCAUGCCUAACACAUGCAAGUCGAACGAGACCUUCGGGUCUAGUGGCGCACGGGUGCGUAACGCGUGGGAAUCUGCCCUCUGGUACGGAAUAACUCAGGGAAACUUGAGCUAAUACCGUAUAAUGACUUCGGUCCAAAGAUUUAUCGCCUGAGGAUGAGCCCGCGUCGGAUUAGCUAGUUGGUGAGGUAAAAGCUCACCAAGGCGACGAUCCGAAGCUGGUCUGAGAGGAUGAUCAGCCACACUGGGACUGAGACACGGCCCAGACUCCUACGGGAGGCAGCAGUGGGGAAUAUUGGACAAUGGGCGAAAGCCUGAUCCAGCAAUGCCGCGUGAGUGAUGAAGGCCUUAGGGUUGUAAAGCUCUUUUACCCGGGAUGAUAAUGACAGUACCGGGAGAAUAAGCCCCGGCUAACUCCGUGCCAGCCGCCGCCGUAAAAC